rnacentral:rRNA from 1 species
AGAGAUUAGGUAAAUCCGGUUUCUCUUAAGGCUGAGACACGACGUCGAGCACCUACGGGUGUGAAGUCAUUGAUGCCAUGCUUCCAGGAAAAGCCUCUAAGCUUCAGAUUGUAAGGAAUCGUACCCCAAACCGACACAGGUGGUCGGGUAGAGAAUACCAAGGCGCUUGAGAGAACUCGGGUGAAGGAACUAGGCAAAAUGGUACCGUAACUUCGGGAGAAGGUACGCUCUCGACGGUGAAGUCCCUUGCGGAUGGAGCUAUUGAGAGUCGCAGAUACCAGGUGGCUGCAACUGUUUAUUAAAAACACAGCACUGUGCAAAAUCGUAAGAUGACGUAUACGGUGUGACGCCUGCCCGGUGCCGGAAGGUUAAUUGAUGGGGUUAGACUUCGGUCGAAGCUCUUGAUCGAAGCCCCGGUAAACGGCGGCCGUAACUAUAACGGUCCUAAGGUAGCGAAAUUCCUUGUCGGGUAAGUUCCGACCUGCACGAAUGGCGUAAUGAUGGCCACGCUGUCUCCACCCGAGACUCAGUGAAAUUGAAAUCGCUGUGAAGAUGCAGUGUACCCGCGGCUAGACGGAAAGACCCCGUGAACCUUUACUACAGCUUGGCACUGAACAUUGACCCUACAUGUGUAGGAUAGGUGGGAGGCUUUGAAGCACGUACGCCAGUAUGUGUGGAGCCGUCCUUGAAAUACCACCCUUGUAGUGUUGAUGUUCUAACGUCGACCCCUUAUCGGGGUUGCGGACAGUGCCUGGUGGGUAGUUUGACUGGGGCGGUCUCCUCCCAAAGAGUAACGGAGGAGCACGAAGGUGGGCUAAUCACGGUUGGACAUCGUGAGGUUAGUGCAAUGGCAUAAGCCCGCUUGACUGCGAGAAUGACAAUUCGAGCAGGUGCGAAAGCAGGUCAUAGUGAUCCGGUGGUUCUGAAUGGAAGGGCCAUCGCUCAACGGAUAAAAGGUACUCCGGGGAUAACAGGCUGAUACCGCCCAAGAGUUCAUAUCGACGGCGGUGUUUGGCACCUCGAUGUCGGCUCAUCACAUCCUGGGGCUGAAGUCGGUCCCAAGGGUAUGGCUGUUCGCCAUUUAAAGUGGUACGCGAGCUGGGUUUAGAACGUCGUGAGACAGUUCGGUCCCUAUCUGCCGUGGGCGUUGGAAGAUUGAAGGGGGCUGCUCCUAGUACGAGAGGACCGGAGUGGACGAACCUCUGGUGUUCGGGUUGUGUCGCCAGACGCAUUGCCCGGUAGCUAAGUUCGGAAUCGAUAACCGCUGAAAGCAUCUAAGCGGGAAGCGAGCCCUGAGAUGAGUCUUCCCUGAUACUUUAAGUAUCCUAAAGGGUUGUCGGAGACUACGACGUUGAUAGGUCAGGUGUGUAAGUGCUGUGAGGCAUUGAGCUAACUGAUACUAAUUGCCCGUGAGGCUUAACCAU